CUCUAUGUAGUAAAGAGCUUGCAUGUGAGACUUAUGCAUGGGUUUAACAUUCUAAUUGGGACUUGGAAUCAUGCUCUAUAUAGUAGACAUGACAAAUGUAAUAUGCCUUGGACAUAAAUCUCAUUUGGACAUAAGAGAAUACAUUAGGCCAUAAAGUGGCUUUGGACUUGAAUAACUUGUGAGUUAGGGAGCUAAUGUCGUAAUGCGACAUCGGGCUUGAGCUAUGAAUGAGCCUAGCAAAGUAAUACCAUAGAGAGGCAUUAGACUUGAAUGAUGUGUGAAUUGCGUGUGCAUGUUAAUAUUAUAAGAAUUAUGCUAAGUUGGUAGUUGCAUUGAAAAGUGUAUGCAUGUAGCAUUAUGAGAACUAUGCUAAGUUGAUAGUUGCAUACGGACGCAUUGAAACCAUAUGCUAGUGGAUAGAUGCAUGUUAAUAUUUAUAUACAUUAUGGAAUACAUGCUAGGUACAUAUUAGCGAUGUGAGAUCAUGCUAGAGAGCAUGCGUAUUAACCUAUUAUUAAUAGGGUAAGCUAAUGUCAUAAAGAGGCAUUAGGCUUUGAAUUGGUAUAUUAAGCUAAUGUUAUAAAGCGACAUUAAGCUUGGGACAUGUAUGAACCUAGUAAAUAAUGCUAUAAAGAGGCAUGAAAAUUGGAACAUGCUUGGAUAUAGUAAUGUUCUAGUGUCCUAAAGAGGCACUAGACUUAGUGAAUGUUGGAACUUCACUUUGAGACAUAGACUAGACCCUUAGGGUUACUAGUGGUUAUUCCAUGUUAGAGACAUGAUGACGAGAUCCGUGACAUGAUGACUAUGGUUACUUGCCAUUUGUGCUCAUUCGCACAUGCUUGUGAGGGUCGCUCCCUACAAGCCGGCACUCCGGAGUUGGCCUUUUGCGACGCAGUUCGCGCGUGCGGGAUUGAGACGCCUGUAGGGUCGCGUGGGACAGUCUCAUUCCAGAGUGGGAUGACGAGCUACCACGGGCAGCUAGGCGGCGAGGCGCUUGUAGGGUCGGGUGGGACAGUCUCAUUCCUCGAGGGGGAAUGUUGGAGCUAUCACUGGCAGCUAGGCGGCACAAGUUGGACUACACAUGUGUUGGUCCUGGAUGAGAUU
rnacentral:lncRNA from 1 species